GAGUUUGAUCAUGGCUCAGGAUGAACGCUGGCGGCGUGCUUAACACAUGCAAGUCGAACGAAGCGGGAAGGAAGAAGUUUUUCGAAAUGGAUUUUUUCUUUGCUUAGUGGCGGACGGGUGCGUAACACGUAGGUAACCUGCCCUGUGCUUGGGAAUAACUCCGGGAAACCGGUGCUAAUGCCGAAUAAUAUCGCCUGUCGGCAUCGAGAGGCGAUCAAAGAAUUUCGGCACAGGAUGGGCCUGCGCCGGAUUAGCUGGUUGGUGGUAACGGCUCACCAAGGCGACGAUCCGUAGCCGACCUGAGAGGGUGAUCGGCCACACUGGAACUGAGACACGGUCCAGACUCCUACGGGAGGCAGCAGUGGGGAAUAUUGCACAAUGGGGGAAACCCUGAUGCAGCAACGCCGCGUGAGCGAUGAAGGCUUUCGAGUCGUAAAGCUCUGUCCUAUGGGAAGAUGAUGACG
rnacentral:rRNA from 1 species